CAGUCCUUUUCAUGGAUGUCCUCUGCACCUCCAGAGGCCUGCGCGCUCUCUACCACUAUAGAACUCUGGGACUCACCACUCCAGGGACAGACCUACCUCCCUUCAUACAUCGUCCUCACUUCAACGCCAUGGCCGUCACCCAUCCGUUACUUCCCAGUUUCAUGCUGAUCUCUAUUAAAGCCCCCAAUUAACCGGUCCUUCUGCUUCCAGAUGCCUCUUUCAACUGAACCGGUCAAGACUGCAGGCGGGCCAGACCAGAACUCUCCUCUUCCUCAGGAGUUUCCAUUGCAAUGCCGCUGUCCUUGCGGUGUGGUGGAUGGCAGGUCCUCAUCAUUGGCAGCCAGUGGGUGAGAGACGGAGGACACCUUGGACAGGCCAGCAGUCAAUCAUAGGGCUUCAUAGAGACACACAGGACCAACAACCCUGGUUGCUCACUUUGGACUUCAGACAACAUACUGGACCGGCACCAGCAGAUGGCGCGGCUCCAACAAUCAUCACCGACUGUGGAAACUUCACACUGGACCUCAAGCAGCACGGAGGGGAGGAGAAGGAGCUCAAGUCGGAACGUGAGAAGCUGAAAGGAUGCAACAAAGGAUUCGGAGCCCAGUAAGCAGAUAGCUCGGAAGGCCGCUGGGGGCCAAAAAACAGAGAGAGAGAGAGAGAGAGAGGAGGGGAGAGGAGGAGUGGGUGGGAGAGGAGGGGGUGCUUGGUGGUGUCUUUUGAAGAUGGAGAUGGAAGGAGAAAGAGAAAGGAGGAGACGCGCAGAAUGAGACAGAGAGCGCGUGUCUCCUGUGGAUGUGUUAGGGGACCAACGCGGCGAGGCCUGAGCAUGUGAUUUAUUUCAGAAUACUAAUGUCCCUUUGAUCUCUGCUGCUAAAAAAGAAAAGAAAUGCCCUUCCGGGAUUGUGGGCACACACUCGAGCGCAAACACACUCUCACUCUCAACACAGGCAGAUGCAUGCAUGUACCGCACACGCACCUACAUCCUCGCAGUCGCAUUAAUAUUGUUGCGUCCCCUCGACUGAUUGCUGAAUAGGGCUGAUUUAUGCGCGCGCACACACACACACCCACCCCACAAACCCGACCCCCCCCCACAUACACACACCCACACACUCCCACACACGCACUCCAGGGUGUCUAAUCUACUUUAACCAUCAUCAAAUCCUCAGAGAUCCAAUUACAAAGAUAGAGGGAUAUUUGUUUUUCUCUGUACACCCUAAAAGACUAAUUAAAUUUUCAUGUAAAGAUGAAAUUAUUUGAUACAACACAAAUGUCUUUUCAUUUUCAUAAUCGUAACGUAAUACGUUUUAAUUAGGAGUCCUGUCACCGCUUCUGCUUGUUCAAGCUGUUUUCCUUCCCCCCUCCUGGCCCACUUAACCUGAAGGAGAGGCGGAAACAAUAUACGGGUGUAAACCCAAUCUGUUCCCAACCCGUUGUUCUGAGUCAGGGCUCGGAGAGGUCAGAGGUCAUGUGGGUGACAUGCGGGACCCGGACCGAAGACGCCCGUAGACGACGAAGGAUUGGCCCCGCGCGGGGCGGCUGUCUUUCGUUUCUGCAUUUGCUCCGACGAAGCGCCAGGAGAGCGGCGUAUUGACAUUUUGUAAAUGUCAGGUUGUUUAUUGUGAGGUGCUUUCAGUAGGGGACGUAAUGAUAGCAUAAAAAUGUUCAGACUUUUGAAGCGAGCGCGAGAAACAAUCACAGUGGCAGCCGUAACUAAGUGAAGCCAGAGCAUUUUUCCACCAUCACAUUUCUCAAAAUUACUGUAACAUCGCAACCGCAAGCUUCGGCUUUGUUGACAUUUUAUUUGAUCAACGCAAAGCAGAACCUAAUUGAGAAGUGGAAGGAGAAUUAUACUUUUUCUCUCUCAAGUUUAAUAAAAAAAAACCCGAGAGCAACUAUGGCUGCUCUCAGUUGUAAAAAUCCGCCUUGCUCUGAGUUGUUGCAUUAAAAUAAAAUUUACACAACUGACUUUGUAUACACUGUAAAACUGUUUCCCGACAUGUUUGUUGUACGAUAUCGAGAAUCCUGUGUAUGAAAGCUCGUAGUUUGAGUUUUGCUCUCAAUCCCCAGCUGAUCAGAGCAGACAUUAAGCCUCCUGAAGCCUGGCUCUUCUGAAGCCCUCUCCCAGUUCAAACACAGCUUCUCCUUUCCACCGUAGCCUGCUGCUAGCCUGUGCACGCUCAAGCCGAAGGACCGAAUCAAAGCAGAGAUUUAAUGAAAACGGUGCACUGCCUUAGGCAAAGCAAACCAAAACAAGGCAAGGAAGCAAAACAAGAUGUAUAAGCUGGAGAGGACAAAGGAAACCAACGUACAAAAGACAAAGUCAAAGGAUGAACUCAAAACCUAGCAGACACAUUCACAGUAAGGGCUGACUUUGUCUAAGGUGUGUUAUUCUGUGGUCUGGUGUAGCGCUGCCACGAAUCCUAACCCCAACCCAGACUGAGUCAAUCUCCAAGAUGGCAGUUUUGGUGCAAACGUGACAAAUCCUGAAAGAUGAACUCGAUACGAAAUGUUCAUCAUAGUAGCGAAGCUUCAAAGUAACCACCCGAGUUCUGACUGACAUAAUUCAGCUUUAAUUUCCAGUUCUGGGUCCUCAGUGAUCUCCUGUUUCAGUGUAAGAUUUCCCCCACGUCAGGCUUGAUGAAUCUCUUUUAAUAGCCAUCAACGCAAGAGCCCGCGGUAUUAAAUGUACAGCCGGUGCUUUGCUUUUCAAUCUAUAAAAAACAAAACAUCCUAGAGGAGUGUAAUUCAAUAUAAAUUGUAAACGCUUCUGUUCCUUUAGAAUCAGGAGUUCCGGGUUGCUGGGAAAUUGCAGCACCGAGAAACCCGCUGCGUCAGGAGAAACGUCGCUGACAGCGUUCCGGGUUUGGACGGUUGUCGAAAAAAGUUGCGCCCCAGAUAUGAAAGUGGAAGGUU